CAAUCCCAAAAAUCAUUGCAUAUUAAAAUGAAUGAGAAACUAGAUGAAUGGUGCAAAGAUCUACUACUGAAUUGGCAGAGUGGUGUGCCCUUAUGAUGUCCAGUUCUGAAAAAUAUGGGGUACAUCCCUAACUGAAUGGACAUGAAAAGAUGAUUUUCAUGGAUAACUGUUUUCCUUACCAUAAUAAGGUACUUUCAGUAUUAGAAGUAACCUCUAGGACUGUCAUAAGAAAGUGGUAAGAGAUAUUAAGUUUGAUGAGAGUUGCUGUAGGUUCUCUAAAUCCCAUUGCCUCCUAAACACUUAAGUGUAGCAAAGGGGUAAAAGAUGCCGUCGUUUCUCCUUCAACUCCAGUACUGGCAAGCCAAGAAGCCACUGUCUCACCCUUCUCACAAUCCAUCAGUGCCAGUUCACCACAAAGAAGAGAUGGAGAGGAUAGGGGCUGGCACUGACUUGGAGCCUCUCCAGUCAUCAGCUCCAGGAAGGGAAGGAGAAAAUGAACACUUCAGCUUGGUGUUUCAAGAACAAUCUUUCUGCCCCACCACAGGGGGACGUGGGAGUCAGGGGACCAAGGAAAGAAGCAAUGCUUAUGGGUCCUGCAAUUUUAGCUUGGAAGCAUGUGAUGAGGGGACCACUUCAGAUUUUAAGUAAUAGAAAAUUCAAGUAAUUUUUCUGGAACCGUGAUAGCUAGGAAAAAGAAAAAUCAUGAUCCAAGCACAUGCUAAAGAUUUAAAAACAGAAGGCAAAAAUAUUUCUAAAGCUACUGGGAUUUUUGGAGAACCUUACUCAUGACUUUUGAACACUUCGACUUUGCAGUACUGAAUAGGAUCAGGGUUGAUGCUGGUUCAUCAUUGGAGUGCUAAAAUCAGAAGAGAAUCCGGCUGAGAGGGAAAAAACGCAUUUCCCUGUGUCUUACAGCUGCCAGAGGCCCAUUCUGCAGAUCAGAUGACCACUAAGGCCUUCCUUAACUUACACCAGUUCUGAAAGGGCCACUGCAGCACUACACAAUAGAAGUGUGCAUAUGCCCCUUCUGCCAUCAGUGUGAUCCCAAAAUACUUCAUGUGGAGGAGAUGCAUACAGCCAGCAUCCCUGCCUCUCUGCCUGUUAGGAAGGUCUCUGCCUCAGGAGUUUGGGGAGUGGGGUAGAAGGGAGGAAGAAGCGUCUCUUACGGAUGGUUUAUGUUCCCUUUGCUUUGGGAUAUGACCCUUCCUAAAGUUCCCUCCAGCGACUAGUUCUGGCAUGGUGGGACCCACAACAAGACAAUGAACAAUUCCCCUUCAACAGCCAUUCUGCACCCCCCUUCCCGUCUUCUGUCUUAGUGGUGGUAACGGGGAGGAGAAGGAAUAAUUGGGACUUCUGCACAGAUAUAGAAUUGAUUAACUCUAUGAGCCCUCCCAGACCACUCAGUCCAUCGGGGUCAAGUUUCCACCACAGACUCACUCAGGAAGGUGCGGCUACUCCCCCAGCCCUGUCAGGAGAGGGAACAGGGCAACUCCCUAGGCCCAGCGGAGAGAAAGGGGAGGGAUCAUGCCGGGAGCGAGCCUGCGCUGCUCAGCAAGCCCGACCGGGGCUGGCCUGGUGUUGGGCGCCCAGGCUGAAGCGGUUCGGAGGGCGGCACUGGCAGGGCUGAUCCACACCUGCUCUACCGUCCAGAUUCCUAAACGGAGAGCCCAGAGGGUGGCAGUAUUCCCUAUAGGCAGCUUGGCUUCAGUCCCGCAGCGAACAAGAGGAGAGGGCAGCACUCGUUCCUAAAGGCAGCCUCACUUCAUUCCGCAAAGCUGCAUGGAAACGGAUGUCGUUUUAACCGAAGGCGGAGACUUUCACUUAGGACAAUAGUACAACUAUAAGAGGUUUCAUGAAAAGUAUUAUUGUCCCAUUGUACAAAUGGAAAACUGAGCCAGAGAGAGAUGUCCCAGGCCACGGAGGAGUGUCACAACUGGAACUUCAACUCAGUGAUUCUUGUAUCCCAGCUCUGCGCUCACUAGACAAUUGACCAGAUUCUCUUCUGUGUCCAUUUUAUACUGGGUGCAGCAGAGAAAGGAGAGAUUAUCAAGGAACUGGUUACAACUCUCUUAUUCUCUGCACAAUUUAGAGUGCUUGUGGCUGUUCCAAACUGCACUGGCUGUCUUUGAUCUUUUGAAGUGCUUUCCACUCCAACCACUCCACCUCAACUGGCAGGCCUCUCCUUGCCUCCGACAUCCACUAUAGCAAGAGCUGCAGGGUGAAAAUGUAGACGGCUCUGCUGGCUCUAUAUCUGCUGGGAAUCCCUUAUACUGGGAGUAUUUCCACCUGGAGUGAUCUUGAAGGUUCAUCUACCUUUACGCCUCUUGAACCAUGCAAAGGAAGCAGAGUGGACCAAAGCAUGUAGAUUAUUGCCUCUGUGUAAAUUGCAAGCUCAGCAUAACUGGAUAGUAAAAACUGAGGCCUGCCAUUCUUGCAGUUUUUCCAGUACUACCACACUGCGAAGUACACAUGAGGCAGUCUUACACUAUUUCCAAUAAAGAAAUACUUAGAAUUCUGCAAGGAGGGCAGUUUUAGAGUAUUCACGUUAUCCAAUGGUAUUGCCAUGUUUGUUCAUCACCAUUUAUUCUGAGAGAACUGCAUAUGAUUAUGACUGAUGGAAAGGAAAAAUCCCAGUGGGCUGAAAUGUUGGGUCUUUGUUAGUAUUGGGGUGACAAAUUAUUUAGGCCAUUUUUUAAAAUCUGCCAACCACAAAUUGUUCAGUGUAUGUGCAAAACUUAAAAUAAUAAGUAAAUAACGUACAAAUUGUCUCCAUGCCAACAAAGAACAAUCUUAGAUAUCAGUUCUAAAAUAUAUUUCAGCACCCACUCCCUCCCCAGUAAAAUCUGGGUAAAGUCUUGCAGCAUACUCUGAAGGUCCUCAAAUCUGGACUCAAGCAAACUGUGUGGGAAAGUGAAUUCCAGAGUCAAGGGCCCCACAUCAAGAACAACUACUGCUUUGGGUCUUGGCUGUUCACAACUGCUACAGAAUCAUGUAAGGAGAGCAGCAAUGACACAGGUAGCUAUAGUCAAUUUCACUUAAGGAUUUACAGGUUAGAACCAAUGCCUUAUAAUCCACCUAUAAAUCAGUCAGUAGCCAGUGUACAGGAGUAAUGCAGUACUGAUUAAUAAAUGGGCAGUCACAAUCUGCAAUAGCUAAUUUCUGGAUUGUUUGAAGAUGUAGCCUCUUGUACAGCACAUUACAAUAAUCCAACUUUAAGAUGAAAAUGGCAUGGACGACCCUACGAAGGUCUGUAUCUAAAAAUGAAAGGUCACAACCUUUUUGCAAAGAGGAAACAAUAAAAAGCAUUAUUGGGAAACACUGCUACUUGAACUUCCAACAAAAACCCUUAGGUUGCAAGCCUGUGUAACAAACAGCAGGUAUACCCAUUCAGUGAGUGUUAGCCUGCGUACACUUCUCCAAAGCUAUUAGAUACUAUCCGAGUCACUCAAUUACACCAGCUGGUCAGAAAAGCUAAUGCUAUAAAGCUGUAUUUUUUCUGCAUAUUGGAGUCCAUGUUGCCUCACUAGCCCUUUUAAAGAGGAAUGGGAAAUACUCCAGUAGAUUUGUCCUUGAAGAUAUUGAUCCUGCUGGGAGAUUUUAUAUGAGGGAGCUAGAAUUUGAAGCAAAGAAGCUCUAGAUUCUGGUCUAGGUGUCCUGAGAUAAGGAUCCUAGAUGCAGCCAAGCAUAGGGAGAUGGCUUGAGAUGAACUAUGUUAUCUCUUUGUUAAUAAAACCAGAUCACAGGAUGGGAAUGAAAUGUGACUCCACACAGCAUGUAGACUGUCUUUUAAAACACUGGGGAAGUCAUCUCUUCACAUUCCGCUAAUGGUCCCAUGCAUAUAUUGAUCAGAAGGGAUGACAGACUAGCACCUGGCCUUUUAAUGGUUCUGUUUGUUUCUUUCAGAGAGUGCCAAAAGGGGGUAAUAACUUCAGAUAAUUUCCAGAUCAGAUAGCUUCUUAGGAGGAUGCAGUGGUGUCUCUCAAUGAGAUAGUAUAGAUGCUUGGUGGAGAAAGAUACAGCUAAACCAGGAGCCACACAUCAGGAAUCUUGACUUUAAUGUUUUUAAGGUGUCUGAGGAAAUGUCAAUGAAAAGACAAGAGAGUGAGAUAGAACAGGAGGAAAGAAACACUGGGGCAGAAAAUAACACAACAAGGGAAGGAAAUACAUGCCUUUGUGGUGCUGCUAAUUAGAUAUCCCCAUUGCUGAACUGAGGACUGGAUGUCAUGAUAGUGUGAUGAUUUUCAGCACUCACAGAUGAAAACAAAGUUCCUUAAACAAGAGCAAGGCCAGAGAGCCUUCCUCUCAGGAAGAAAGUCUUUUAGAUAAGUCAAGAUGCGUUGCAGUGUUGGUAGGUUGGGGGAUGAGCUGGGGGGAUGUAAGGUGGGAUGAGAGGGAGAGCUGAACUGAACUGAUUAUUUUUCAAAGUCUCUUUUUAGGAAACCCCAAAAGGGAAAAAGUGGGUGCCAUAGUUCAUCCCCCUCACUAUUUUGUUCACCAACUAGGCCUAAUAUCUGUCACAUUAAUUUUAGUCUAUUAACUUCUGGUUCCAUAUAAUCUGUUUUCACCAAGCAUAACUCCAACAGUACUUGUUGUAUAUCAACAUGGCCUUUUUGGUUUAGACUCAUCCAGCUUCUUUGCCUGCUUCUCUUGCACUUGUUAAACAUUCAGUGUCGUAAAUUAUUUGACCUAUUUUUCAUGGUUAUUGUAACAUCUAAUGAAUUUUUAUAUACACUAUACAUUUGAGCUCACAAUAGAUGUACACUUUGUAGGCCCAAUAGUCACAAUAGACCAUCCCUCUUGUCUACAUUGAACAGAUGUAGACAGUGAAGGGGGGGCAGUAGUACUUCUGAUGUCUUGGUGCUCCAGGAAACUGGUAGGGCUGUGCCCCAUGGAAGAAAAUCUGUCCUCGAUUUUCACCCCAGCUCUUUGAGGACAGUGAUUACUGAGAUCACUCCUUCCCUUAUUGUGCAUCCAUUUUGAAGUAAUUUACCCAGUGGUCUCCAGGAUUAUGCUAAGAACCUUUUCCCAUGGAGAGUCAGUCCUUUCCAUUUAUGAAAAAUGAAUUGAUAGGUUCUUUUGUUUCAUGUAUUUCUUUAUUUUAGAUUUAAAACUUGAUUUCCAAAUUACAAAAAAUAAUUCAAAAUAUCAAAUUUUCUUUAAUUGUUUUGCUGUCUAGAAUUACCUAAUAUUUUCAGCAUUGUUUAUAUUUUCAUAUAUCAAACUACAUAUUACAAUAUUUCCAUUUACAUAAUGUAAAAUUAUUUACAUAUCUCUCAAAAUUCCUCACUGAAUCUCUGAAUCUCUUUCUACACAAUCUAAAUAGUCAGUAUAACUCAUACAUAACACUAGUUUAAUAAGGAAAAAAACUAAUUGUAUAAUAAAAUUUUGAUAGUCUCCUUAUUUAGCUCAUUUUAUCUGCUUAUUAAACGUGUUCAGUGCUUAACAUUAUUAACAAAUGUAUUACUUCCAGAUAUAUUCAAGGAAGGGUAUGGAUACAAGCUAUAUAAAUAAGACAUUAACAUAGCUAGAAAUAGCUGCUUUCUAUAUAAAUGUUUGUUGGACAGAUAAGAGAUUUACUUCAAUGUUACAGAAACACUCACAUUUUUCAAGCUACUUCUCAAAUUAUCCUUAUUAUUAACAGAAAAACUUGUUAGUGUUUUGACUGUUGACUUAUCUAUAGUUGGCAGAAAGCCAUAGAAAGAAAAUACACAACAGACUAUUACCAUUUCUACCCCUCAUUAAAAGUUUUAAAAGGGAAAAAAAUCUAUAGACUAAACCUAAAAAUGUAGUAAUACUUUUCUCCUAAACCAACCAAAUGUGGGAGAAAAUGCUCCUACAAUAGGAGCAACUCUCAGAUAUUGAAUAGCAGCUUCUAGGGGCCUAUUUAGAAGACUUUUGUGUGAUUACUAUGCUGAACAAAAUGUGGAAUUUAAGCUGUUGUUAAAUGCAGAUAAAGGUCAGAGAGCAGGAUCUCCACAAACUGUCAUUUGCAAUAUUUCUAACUUCCUUUAUCCACAGAAGGAAUGUGCAGUGCUAAAACUAGGCAGAAUCAAUGCAAAAUAAGGUAUUCCUGGCAACCAUGAGGUAUUUACUGCUGUUAACAAAGAGCAGCAUACAAAUGUGUUUGAAACUCAGACACAGACAACUGUUGGAAAAGAAUCCCAGAAUAGUAUUCAUUUUACGUCAACUUGCUGUUAGUGAAAGGGAUAUAAUCUGUCAUUUUUAUUUAGGAAGUUUCUUUCUCACUGCUGCUGCAGCUUUUUCUCAUCCGUUCAUGUUUAGCGUGUAUAAACAGUUUGGUUAAUCAAAACCACUCACAGACCUAAAUAAUGUUACAGACCCUAUGCUUUCUACAUGUUAACAGACCUGUCCCAUUAACUCCUAUUAUGUCUCAGAACAUGUAUGUAGGCAUUCUUUAUCUAAAUCAGCAGCAAAACAGAGUGAGUGGCAAUACAAUUACAUAUUUACCAGACUAUAUUAAAAGUGCACAUAUUAAUUGUUUUCUGUGAGAUGUAUAUGCUAACUGUAUAGGUGCAUAUACUCUGACAUGAAUUACAGAAUUGUUCACAUUUUUCUAGUUUCCAAAUGCAGCUAUUGCUAUCCUACACAUACUCUUCAGUUUUCAGUGAAAAUCUAGUAUUAUAUACAGUGUUUGAGGCUGGAAUGAUUGCUGGUAUUGGGAUUGAUCCUGCAACUUUCACUCAAGUGAGUAAGCCAAAUGUAUGAAAUUAGUUCUAUUAGAACUUUCAUGUGAAUAAGAAAGUUGCAGAUUUUUCACCCAUAUUUAUCAUUUGCCUAAUUCUCCUUGAGUUUACAUGACAUGACCCUUAGGCCAUUCUUUUCAGUGUUGAUUUUAACUCUCAAAACUGUAUACUUGACUAAUUGGCAACUGAAUAUCAAACUUGUCUAAUGGGUACUGAUAGUCUCUGUAAACAUGUACAAGAAUAAGCGAUACACCCUGUGACGUUCAUCAUAAUACACCCAGACAUAACUGGUUUGUAUUGCAGCAUUGUAUAAAGAGUUUAUGUAUGACAGGUAUACGGUAGUUGGUCAGCCAUAUUGGGGCGUGUCAUAAAUAUAAAGGGAAGGGUAAACACCUUUAAAUCCCUCCUGGCCAAAGGAAAAACCCUUUCACCUGUAAAGGGUUAAGAAGCUAAGAUAACCUCGCUGGCACCUGACCAAAAUGACCAAUGAGGAGACAAGAUACUUUCAAAGCUGGGGGGGGGGGGGGGCAAAGGGUUCUCUCUGUGUUGUCUUUUGCCAGGACCAGAGCAGGAAUGCAGAUCAGAACUCCUGUAAAGGGUUAAUAAGCAAUCUAGUUAGAUAUGUGUUAGAUUCUGUUUUGUUUAAAUGGCUGAUAAAAUAAAUUGUGCUGAAUGGAAUGUAUAUUCCUGUUUUUGUGUCUUUUUGUAACUUAAGGUUUUGCCUAGAGGGAUUCUCUAUGUUUUGAAUCUGAUUACCUUGUAAGGUAUUUAUCAUCCUGAUUUUACUGAGGUGAUUCUUUUACUUUUUCUUUAAUUAAAAUUCUUCUUUUAAGAA